rnacentral:rRNA from 1 species
GACAGAGGAGGCGAGCGUCAUCCGGAGUUAUUGGGCGUAAAGGGUGCGUAGGCGGGCGUGCGCGUCUGGGGUGAAAGGCUCCGGCUCAACCGGAGACAUGCCCUGGGUACGGCACGUCUUGGGUGCGGGAGAGGGCGAUGGAAUUCCUGGUGUAGCGGUGAAAUGCGUGGAUAUCAGGAGGAACGCCGGUGGCGAAGGCGGUCGCCUGGCCCGCAACCGACGCUGAGGCACGAAAGCGUGGGGAGCAAACAGG